AACACACGACAGGGGAGCGCCGCCGCGUACCGGGGAACCGGGCACGGCACAGGGCGCUGAGAGUGCGGAUCACCGCAGACCCUCGAACCUGAUCCGGUUAGUACCGGCGAAGGGAGUCGAGAUCUCAGGGGC
rnacentral:ncRNA from 1 species